rnacentral:rRNA from 1 species
UUGAACGCUGGCGGCAGGCCUAACACAUGCAAGUCGAGCGGUAACAGGACUAGCUUGCUAGUUGCUGACGAGCGGCGGACGGGUGCGUAACACGUAGGAAUCUGCCCGGUAGUGGGGGAUAGCCCGGAGAAAUCCGGAUUAAUACCGCAUACGCCCUAAGGGGGAAAGCAGGGGAUCUUCGGACCUUGUGCUAUCGGAUGAGCCUGCGUCGGAUUAGCUAGUUGGUAGGGUAAAGGCCUACCAAGGCAACGAUCCGUAGCUGGUCUGAGAGGAUGAUCAGCCACACUGGGACUGAGACACGGCCCAGACUCCUACGGGAGGCAGCAGUGGGGAAUAUUGCACAAUGGGCGCAAGCCUGAUGCAGCCAUGCCGCGUGUGUGAAGAAGGCCUUAGGGUUGUAAAGCACUUUCAGCGAGGAGGAAAGGUUUAAGGCUAAUACCCUUAAGCUGUGACGUUACUCGCAGAAGAAGCACCGGCUAACUCCGU